rnacentral:lncRNA from 1 species
UCAUUUACUAUCAAUUUAUCUCAUUCUCAAUUUUAUUUACUUCCCAUUUAGUAUCACAAUAUUGCUUUAAUUUUUCAAACCCUAUUUUUUUAAAUCAUAAUAAAGUGGGCGCGUUUCUGUUAGGAAAGUGUUUGUUCUUCAUUUUUCUAAUUGGUUUUUUGAAUUUGGUGCAAAGAUCUGUUUUUUUUCUUUCUCUCUUUCUUCUCUGCAUCUCAUAAUUUCAUUUAUGGUGUGUGUAUUUGUUUGACCAGUAGUAGUUGUGAAAUUCAUAUAUUGUGUGGUGUCUGUUAAAUUACUCAAUAGAAGAAUACGUUUUUUUACUUUAAUUCAAUAGAUUGACUUUUGAGACUCAAAUUCACUUGAUUUUUAUGUUUGCUUGUGUUAUGUAAAUGGAGUAUGUAUGUAAUUUGAUUAAUGUUAUUAUGAUUAUGAUAUGAUUCUUAGAAAAGAAAAGAAAAAACCUUUUUAGCUGGGUGCAGAAAUUAAGGACAACAGCAUAUAACAGACAAGGUUCUUCUAAUACAAUGGGGGACUUCAGCAGGAUGGAGUAUGUAUGUAAUUUGAUUAAUGUUAUUAUGAUUAUGAUAUGAUUCUUAGAAAAGAAAAGAAAAAACCUUUUUAGCUGGGUGCAGAAAUUAAGGACAACAGCAUAUAACAGACAAGGUUCUUCUAAUACAAUGGGGGACUUUAGCAGGAGCGAGUAUGUGACAGUAGGUGAAAUUGAUCCGCCUUCCCCAAGGACGAAUCACAUGAACAAAGUUUCG